rnacentral:rRNA from 1 species
CCAACCUGCCGAUUAUUCCGGGAUAGCCUUUCGAAAGAAAGAUUAAUACUGGAUAGCAUAACGAGAAGGCAUCUUCUUGUUAUUAAAGAAUUUCGAUAAUCGAUGGGGAUGCGUUCCAUUAGUUUGUUGGCGGGGUAACGGCCCACCAAGACAUCGAUGGAUAGGGGUUCUGAGAGGAAGGUCC